CUGUGAAUGACCUGGGGAUCUUGCUAAACUGCAGAAUCUGGUUUAAUCUGGGGUGGGGUCUGAGAGUCCACAUUUCUGAUAAGCUCUUGGGUGAUGCUGAA
rnacentral:pre_miRNA from 1 species